CCUACGGGAGGCAGCAGUGGGGAAUAUUGGACAAUGGGGGCAACCCUGAUCCAGCCAUGCCGCGUGUGUGAAGAAGGCCCUCGGGUUGUAAAGCACUUUCAGUGAGGAAGAACGCCUGGUGGUUAAUACCCAUCAGGAAAGACAUCACUCACAGAAGAAGCACCGGCUAACUCCGUGCCAGCAGCCGCGGUAAUACGGAGGGUGCGAGCGUUAAUCGGAAUUACUGGGCGUAAAGCGCGCGUAGGUGGCUUGAUAAGCCGGUUGUGAAAGCCCCGGGCUCAACCUGGGAACGGCAUCCGGAACUGUCAAGCUAGAGUGCAGGAGAGGAAGGUAGAAUUCCCGGUGUAGCGGUGAAAUGCGUAGAAAUCGGGAGGAAUACCAGUGGCGAAGGCGGCCUUCUGGACUGACACUGACACUGAGGUGCGAAAGCGUGGGUAGCAAACAGGAUUAGAUACCCUGGUAGUC
rnacentral:rRNA from 1 species